GGGACUUCCCUUUAAUUUCAUUUAAUUUGUUUUAUCGUCCCAUUGAAGAAUAUAUAUGGUUUAGGGUGGGGAUCUGGACCGUUUACAAGAUAAUAGUACAUUCUCAAAUUGAACGGGGUGGGGGUGACCCCAAGGAACUUCCAUUUAAUUUCAUUUGAUUAGUUUUAUUGUCCCAUACAAGAAUAGAUAUGGUUUAGGGGUGGGGAUGUUGACCCUUUACAAGUUUUCAAACAAGAGGGGGUGGGUUGAGCCCCUAGGGACAUCACUUUUAUUUCAUUUCAUUUGUUUUAUUGUCCCCUACAAGAAUAUAUAUGGUUUAGGGGUGGGGAUCUGGACCGUUUACAAGAUAAUAGCACAUUCUCAAAUUGAACGUGGUGGGGAUGACCCCCCGGGACUUCCCUUUAAUUUCAUUUGAUUUGUUUUAUUGUCCCAUUCAAGAAUAUAUAUGGUUUAGGGGUGGGAUCUGGGACCGUUUACAAGAUAAAAGCACAUUCUCAAAUUGAAGGGGGUGGGGAUGACCCCCCAGGGACUUCCCCUAUAUUUCAUGUGAUUAGUUUUAUUGUCCUAUAAUCAUUUCUGAAGACUGCAUGUAUCUAUCACUUACAGUUUUCAAGUUAUAUUCAUUUGAAAAUUUAGAAAUAAAAUCCAUAGGGUUCUAUAGUAAACCCCUCCCUCCUUUCUAACCCCCAAAAUACCCCUUAACAGACCCCAAUGCACAAACGAAAGGUUGAUG
rnacentral:lncRNA from 1 species